CCUACGGGGGGCAGCAGUGGGGAAUAUUGGACAAUGGGGGCAACCCUGAUCCAGCCAUGCCGCGUGUGUGAAGAAGGCCCUCGGGUUGUAAAGCACUUUCAGUGAGGAAGAACGCCUGGUGGUUAAUACCCAUCAGGAAAGACAUCACUCACAGAAGAAGCACCGGCUAACUCCGUGCCAGCAGCCGCGGUAAUACGGAGGGUGCGAGCGUUAAUCGGAAUUACUGGGCGUAAAGCGCGCGUAGGUGGCUUGAUAAGCCGGUUGUGAAAGCCCCGGGCUCAACCUGGGAACGGCAUCCGGAACUGUCAAGGUAGAGAGCAGGAGAGGAAGGUAGAAUUCCCGGUGUAGCGGUGAAAUGCGUAGAGAUCGGGAGGAAUACCAGUGGCGAAGGCGGCCUUCUGGACUGACACUGACACUGAGGUGCGAAAGCGUGGGUAGCAAACAGGAUUAGAUACCCGUGUAGUC
rnacentral:rRNA from 1 species